AACACUGCACGCCAGCCUGGGAGAUACAACAAGACUCAGUCUCAAAAAAAAAAGGCAGGAGAAAGCUCUCUUGGAGAGCAGCCCCUCAGAUGGCCAAACAAGACUGCGAGUUAGGUGGCGUGAGGCUGAAAGCUGGCUCUGCCUCCCACUAGCUGAGUGACCUUGGGCAAGUUAUCAUACUUAACUCUCUGAGCCUCUACAAAGUGAGGAUAAUAAUAGAUGUGCCAGCUGUUGGGGGCGGGCAGGAAGAUUAAAUGAGAUAACACAUAUAAAACGCUUGGCACAGGAGAAAGGUGGGGAGCGCUCAGUAAAUGGUAACUGUGAUGACGAUUAAAGUGCGGGCUGGAUUGGGAAGACCAGGAGGGGGCACUGAAGGCUUCUGAGACAGGGAGUACUGCAGCCCGUGUUUUAGGGAGAUAAAUCCAGCAGGAGCACCAGGGACAAGGACAGGGGGUUGGCCAGAGGCUGUGGGUAGAUGGGAGGUUGGUGUAAUGGGGUUGCGCAAGGUAUUGAGAGGUGCUUUGGAGCUCAGAGAAGGGGAAGCAGCUGCCCUGGGGCAGAGGGAGGCUGGGACAGGAUGGCUCUGGGCUUCUAGGCUAGGAGAUGAGCCGAGGGCAGGCAAGCUCCGGGAGAGACGUGCGGUGGGAAGUGUCUGGCUGGGGUACGGUGUGGAGGAGGGCUGCAGGGAACAGCAGAGAGGGGAGGUCUGAGGCAUGGGAGGAGGAUCAGGACCAGAGUCAGAGAAAACCUUCAGCAACAGGGGUUUGUGGAUGCCUCAGGAUAGGUGAGGCUGCUCCCAAGAAGGAGGUCCUGAGGGAGCAGUAGGUAAGCUCAGAUGCACACAGGGGACUCAGUUGGGGAGUCUCCCUUAAAAGUGGCCACUCUGAGUCACUGAGUAUGAGAGGUGACUCACCUCUGGCAGAGAGGAGGCAGGUCAAGUAACAAAGCUGGUGCUUCCUGGGAUGCCAUCUAUGGGCCAGUCCCUGGUUUGCAAAUCCCUUCCGUGCAUGAACUUAUCUAAAGCCCUAUGAGGUGGAGCUAGUACUGGCACUAUCCCAUACUGCAGAUGGAGAAACCGAGGCCCAGUGCGGUGGGGGUUAUUGCAGACUCUUCGGCCAGGACACAGGCAUUUGGCUAAACCUAGUGUUUGUGGCAGGGUCUGUUCUGAUUGGCUGAUGCCUGUCCUACUGGUUAGUCAAUGUUUUGAAGGUCACCCUGGUUACACAGCUGGAUGGAGGAGGCGGAAUCCCAACCAACCCCUGGGGCUGAAGCCCUGCUCUGAACCACGAUCCUCUCUCCGUCUAGCGCCGCAGCGCACCUCAGGACAAGUAAUGUGCGUCGAAGGGCUUUGGAAACUGUAAGGCACAGUAUAAAUAACAGUUUCCUUCAUUCCACCUGGGCGGGAGAAGCCUGUUGAGGCCAAAGAAGUUGGGCCAUGAGAAGGCAGAGGAAACGCUGCUGUGGGGAACCAGCAUUCUCUCUGCUUACUCAACGGGGAAAGUCAGUCAGAAGGGAAGCCUCCCUGAGUGGAGCCCCAUGGUCAGCCUCUGGGAGGUUCUCACGUGCCAGACGCCAUCGGGCACUAACCAGGUUAGCCUAGACUUGUCCCCAGGGACCGUCCAGGCUCUCCUGCAACUGGCCACCAGGGGGCGCCGCUCCCCCAGCCUUCCUCUUACUGACCCUACCCGGCCGCCCUCAACCUGCUCGCGAGAAACCAGGCCUUGGAAGGAGUCCCGGGGAGCAGGCACCAGAGACUUUGAAAAGUGGCAAAGACGCGGGAGAUGCUGAGUGGAGCCAUGCGGAGGAGCGCCUGUUCCCAUUUUACAGAUGAGGAAUUCGAGGCCCAAAGAUGUUGGCAACAAUUCCAGCAGCCCCUUCUCCAACCUGAACUUUCUGGAAGCCUGGACACCUGCUUCAUUGUUCUCCAGGGACCCCCAUCAGCCACCCACCCCACACCCUCCCCAUCUGGGCAGAGCCGGGAGCCCCCUCUGCAGCCCUGGCCUGCUUAACAUCCCUCCCCCACCCCAGGGACCCCGCGGGGUCAGGCUUUGCUCCUCGCAACCCCAUGGUAGGCAGCAGCACGAAUAAACAAUGGGACAUUUGAA